GCUACAGGCUUAACACAUGCAAGUCGAGGGGCCGCAUGGUCUUAGCUUGCUAAGGCCGAUGGCGACCGGCGCACGGGUGAGUAACACGUAUCCAACCUGCCGUCUACUCUUGGACAGCCUUCUGAAAGGAAGAUUAAUACAAGAUGGCAUCAUGAGUCCGCAUGUUCACAUGAUUAAAGGUAUUCCGGUAGACGAUGGGGAUGCGUUCCAUUAGAUAGUAGGCGGGGUAACGGCCCACCUAGUCUUCGAUGGAUAGGGGUUCUGAGAGGAAGGUCCCCCACAUUGGAACUGAGCCAGGAUCAAACUC
rnacentral:rRNA from 1 species